rnacentral:siRNA from 1 species
AUAGAAAGCUAGGGUUUGCUCUA